rnacentral:rRNA from 1 species
GACGAACGCUGGCGGCGUGCUUAACACAUGCAAGUCGAACGGAAAGGCCCUGCUUUUGUGGGGUGCUCGAGUGGCGAACGGGUGAGUAACACGUGAGUAACAUGCCCUUGACUUUGGGAUAACUUCAGGAAACUGGGGCUAAUACCGGAUAGGAGCUCCUGCAGCAUGGUGGGGGUUGGAAAGUGUCGGCGGUUGGGGAUGGACUCGCGGCUUAUCAGCUUGUUGGUGGGGUAGUGGCUUACAAAGGUUUUGAAGGGUAGGCGGCCUUGGAGGGGUAACGGCCACAAUGGGACUGAGAGACGGCCCAGACUGCUACCGGAGGCAGUAGUGGGGAACCUUGCACAACGGGCCGAAGCCUGAUGCAGCAACGCCGGGUGCGGGAUGACGGCCUUCGGGUUGUAAACCGCUUUCGCCUGUGACGAAGCGUGAGUGACGGUAAUGGGUAAAGAAGCACCGGCUAACUACGUG